rnacentral:rRNA from 1 species
GAUGAACGCUGGCGGCGUGCCUAAUACAUGCAAGUCGAGCGAACGGACGAGAAGCUUGCUUCUCUGAUGUUAGCGGCGGACGGGUGAGUAACACGUGGAUAACCUACCUAUAAGACUGGGAUAACUUCGGGAAACCGGAGCUAAUACCGGAUAAUAUUUUGAACCGCAUGGUUCAAAAGUGAAAGACGGUCUUGCUGUCACUUAUAGAUGGAUCCGCGCUGCAUUAGCUAGUUGGUAAGGUAACGGCUUACCAAGGCAACGAUGCAUAGCCGACCUGAGAGGGUGAUCGGCCACACUGGAACUGAGACACGGUCCAGACUCCUACGGGAGGCAGCAGUAGGGAAUCUUCCGCAAUGGGCGAAAGCCUGACGGAGCAACGCCGCGUGAGUGAUGAAGGUCUUCGGAUCGUAAAACUCUGUUAUUAGGGAAGAACAUAUGUGUAAGUAACUGUGCACAUCUUGACGGUACCUAAUCAGAAAGCCACGGCUAACUACGUGCCAGCAGCCGCGGUAAUGCGUAGGUGGCAAGCGUUAUCCGGAAUUAUUGGGCGUAAAGCGCGCGUAGGCGGUUUUUUAAGUCUGAUGUGAAAGCCCACGGCUCAACCGUGGAGGGUCAUUGGAAACUGGAAAACUUGAGUGCAGAAGAGGAAAGUGGAAUUCCAUGUGUAGCGGUGAAAUGCGCAGAGAUAUGGAGGAACACCAGUGGCGAAGGCGACUUUCUGGUCUGUAACUGACGCUGAUGUGCGAAAGCGUGGGGAUCAAACAGGAUUAGAUACCCUGGUAGUCCACGCCGUAAACGAUGAGUGCUAAGUGUUAGGGGGUUUCCGCCCCUUAGUGCUGCAGCUAACGCAUUAAGCACUCCGCCUGGGGAGUACGACCGCAAGGUUGAAACUCAAAGGAAUUGACGGGGACCCGCACAAGCGGUGGAGCAUGUGGUUUAAUUCGAAGCAACGCGAAGAACCUUACCAAAUCUUGACAUCCUUUGACAACUCUAGAGAUAGAGCCUUCCCCUUCGGGGGACAAAGUGACAGGUGGUGCAUGGUUGUCGUCAGCUCGCGUCGUGAGAUGUUGGGUUAAGUCCCGCAACGAGCGCAACCCUUAAGCUUAGUUGCCAUCAUUAAGUUGGGCACUCUAAGUUGACUGCCGGUGACAAACCGGAGGAAGGUGGGGAUGACGUCAAAUCAUCAUGCCCCUUAUGAUUUGGGCUACACACGUGCUACAAUGGACAAUACAAAGGGCAGCGAAACCGCGAGGUCAAGCAAAUCCCAUAAAGUUGUUCUCAGUUCGGAUUGUAGUCUGCAACUCGACUACAUGAAGCUGGAAUCGCUAGUAAUCGUAGAUCAGCAUGCUACGGUGAAUACGUUCCCGGGUCU